GUCUUUGCAAGGUCCAAACAUUCUUCACAGUGUCCUGGAAACAAGCUUGUGGCUCAGCUGACCACCCUUUACUUCUCUCGUCCCAGAGAAUCAGAAGCUGUUUGGAGCCCAGUCUCGCGAUGCUGCAGACUGGCUGUGUUGAAGAUACUGCAGCUGAAGAAAUUGCUGACAUAGGACAUCGACUUCGGAAAAAUGGCUUUAAUUUAGUUAAAUGUCAUUAAAGUUUUUGUGAUUGUUACAGCAAAUGCA